GUGUGCCACUCUCAGCUGUGGCGAUGGAGCUGGUGCUGGCCAGGUCGAGCCCCAGGUCGAAGGGUGAGGUGGAGAAGGGUGAGAGUGGGUGGUAGACACCAUCAAAGGGAGGACCAUCACCAGGAUUGGAGGAUGAGCGGCUGGCCCGGUCGGAGGAGUCAAAAGACUUGAAGUUGUAGGAGUGGAAGGACUUGGUGCGGCCACUUGGGGAGAUGGAGUGGUCAGAAAAGCCCUCGGAGAGCUCCUGGUCUGAGGCCUCAUAGCCUAGUGGCAGGAAAACAUCCAGCUCCUGCAGCUCAGCUGGCGGCGGGCUUGUCCCGUCCUUGCCAGAGGGGUCCGAGAGGCGGAGGAGCUCCAGGCAGCCCCCAUUGCUCCCGUUGCUCAGGCUGUGCUGGCGGGACUCGUAGGACUCCUUGACGUAGAGCUUGGUGAGUGUGUCCUGCCAGCCAGCCAAUCUCGCCAGCUGCUUCACCAUGUCCUGCUGCGCGUAGAUCAGGUGGAAGAGCUGCAAGAGGAAAUGUCGAGCCGGACGGUCAGCUCAGCCCGGUGGGACAGGUAAACCACGGCCACUAGGUCCUUGUAGUUGGGAGGUACCUGCACCGAGGACCUGCUCUGAGAGGCAACGGAAGAGCAGCAUGGAGCCAGGGAUGUCACUGAGGCAGGCGAUGAGCCCCUGGUACCCAAUGUCCUUCAGCUUCAGGCGGUUUUUGCUGCGCUCAGGGACCUUCUCAUACUUCAGCAUCUUGUAGAGCACCUGACCCUCUCCCGCACUUCAUCUGAGAACUUCUUCUGCACCAGCAGUGAGAAGAGGACCUCCACAUGGCCUGGCUCAAAGAGGAAGGCAAAGAGCUGGUCCUGGGCAGGUGAGCCCUUCAACAGGCUGUGGAUCAC
rnacentral:lncRNA from 1 species